rfam:Macropus eugenii Contig70140, whole genome shotgun sequence.
GUUUUGAUAGAAAGAGGACAACACAUUGCAAUAGUCGGGCCAGGAGGUGAGGAAUGCCUGGAUAACUCUGGGCCAGAUCUCUAUCUUGAUUGUAGAGACGGUUUCCUGACCAGCUGGGGAU